rnacentral:lncRNA from 1 species
UGAAGUUAUUGAGAAGAGAUUAAUAAAAGGACUGUUUACAAGGUUGUGAGUGGGGCAAUGUAAAACCAACAAGGAAUGACAGAGCAUGUUGGCUAACAACAGCUAUUGCACCCCACGCCUGGAGGAGUAUAGGGAAGAAACAGUUACUAGAACCCCAAGAGAAAGGAGAAACUGAAGGAGGGGAUGCCUGGCUGGAGCUGUGGCCUUCAAUAGUGGAACACCGCUACAACCAGCCUGGCAGGGAGGCAUAACAGAACUGACCUUCCUCCCAGCCCUGUCGUGAGGAUGAAAUCCUGUGUGGAGCACUUUGAAAUCUUUGGAUGAAAAGCACGACAGAAGUGCCAAGUAUGAUUGUUACCCGUGCCAGCCACACUAGAAGACAGCAUAAAAAUAGGAAGCAAAGAAAAUUUCAUUUUACAAAAGCUUCAGUGAGAAAAUUGGCUGGUCAGAAUGUCAUUCCCUAGUUUUGGUUCACAUACACGUUGUCUUUUAUAAAAUUAAAGGAAAAAAAUAAUUGUACACAUUUUUGUCUUUGCCGGGAAGAAGCCCUUUGAUCAUCACCAUCCCUGCGACGCCAGGUGAGUCCCUGAUGCAGAAGGAAGAUCGAUACAUGAGGAGACCGUGUGGAAUCAGUUAUUUGUAGUUGCUCCCCAAUUUCUGUUUUUCAUUGCAAGGAAUCGAAGCCAUAAAGUCUGAGGGGGUGUUACAGGUUGAGGAUUAGGGAGUGUCUAAACCUUGACAUCGUCACAACAUAGGAUCCGAGAUACCUCCAGCUAAAACAGAGACUGUGCUUUCAGAACUGGCCCUGCACGCAGCCUCUACUCCAGUGCUCUCAGGUCCUGUCCUUAAUAGGAGAACAUGAGAGCUGCAGAUUUAAAAACCCAAGAGGGAACCUUUGCAACAACCUUUGUUAUAUUAGGAAUCCCAAAAUAAGCUAGAAGAGAGGAAUUUGAAUGUUCUCAACACAAAUGAUAAAUGUUUGAGAUGAUGGAUAUGCUAAAUACACUUAUUUGAUCAUUAAACAUCGUAUACAGAGGGCUCCCAUAAUUGUAUAAGCCUCAUGCCUCACAAAACCUGAAGGUGCCUUUGGUGAGGAGGAUCAUCAGAACACCAGCAGAGUACCUCGACGUGUGAAAUCUAGCACUGGAUUCCAUCCCUGACUUUUCCUAAGAAUCACUGUGAAUGCUCUGGACAAAUUGCUGCUGCGCUGGGUGCUCCCUGUGUCAUCACACUUCCUAAUUGUACUUCUGGGUCCUCUGAAGCUGUUCCCAGUGCUUAAUCGUAAGAAAAGAAGCUCCAAAUACUAGUUCAGAAACUCAGGUAGAAAGAGACCUUAAAUGUCAUGUCCAGCCACUCUUCUGAUGCUUGAGUCUUCUCUUCAGGAGGCAUCUGGGCCUGGGCUUGGACCCCUUGCCUCAGUCAACCCAUUAGAAGUGUCUUUCCUUGUCUUGAGUCAAAACCAGUCCACUGCUACUGGCAUUGCUCUAUACUUCCAGGCUGUACAGAAGAUGUCUAACCUUUCAGAUGAGAAUGGCAGAGGAAAGCAAGAAGAAAGAAACUUUAAUUGUUCCUCAACUUCCCAAUUAGGCACACCAUUAGGGGUUUUUAAUAUGGUUCUUGAUUUAAUCUUCUCAUUAACUUUCUGAUGUAAGUAUUAUUAUUUUAUUCUAGGGUUCCCAGAUGUAGCAAAUAAAAAUAGAGGAUAUCCAGUUAUAUCUGAAUUUCAGAUCAAAACAAAUGAUUUUUAAAUAAAACAUACACUCCCAAAAGUGUGAAAUUAAUUUGUCCUUGGACAAGAGAUAUGGAAAUGUCAUGUAUUUUACCUGGAAAUCCUGUUAUUAUGCCCAUUUUUGGAGCUGAGGAAACUAAAGGUAGGAGCCUAGCUAAGAGAAGACAAUCUCCAGGAAACUACUGCUUCAGUUAUUUGACACUGGGCAGAAUUUUUGGUGAGAAAUCAGCAAGAUCAUAGCCUGGAGUGAACACUGGAGGCAUGAGAUGUCCUUGAGAAAGAGGCUAGAACAGAGGGUGGAACGCCCCUUCUAUUAAAGCAGUUGUUUUCCA